rnacentral:rRNA from 1 species
UGGGGAAUAUUGGACAAUGGGGGGAACCCUGACCCAGCAACGCCGCGUGAAGGAUGAAGUAUUUCGGUAUGUAAACUUCGAAAGAAUAGGAAGAAUAAAUGACGGUACUAUUUAUAAGGUCCGGCUAACUACGUGCCAGCAGCCGCGGUAAUACGUAGGGACCAAGCGUUGUUCGGAUUUACUGGGCGUAAAGGGCGCGUAGGCGGCAUGACAAGUCACUUGUGAAAUCUCUGGGCUUAACCCAGAACGGCCAAGUGAUACUGUCGCGCUAGAGUGCAGAAGGGGCAAUCGGAAUUCUUGGUGUAGCGGUGAAAUGCGUAGAUAUCAAGAGGAACACCUGAGGUGAAGACGGGUUGCUGGGCUGACACUGACGCUGAGGCGCGAAAGCCAGGGGGAGCAAA